rnacentral:lncRNA from 1 species
AAGGCACAGAGAGGCUGAGCAGCGUGCCCAUGGCUGGGGUCGGCAGGACUCUCCUCUGGGUUUUUGGGCAGAUGAAAUGAUAUAAUGGAUGGGAAAUGGCUUUGUGAACUGUCCUUCCGACUGUUUCAGCCGGCAGUGAAUGGAGUUUCGCUCUUGUUGCCCAGGCUGGAGUGCAAUGGCAUGAUCUCGGCUCACUGCAACCUCUGCCUCACAGGUUCAAGCGAUUCUCCUGCCUCAGCCUCACAAGUAUCUGGGAUUAUAGGUUUCCACCACCAUGCCCGGCUAGUUUUUUUAUUUUUAUUUUUUUUUUUGUAUUUUUAGUAGAGACGGGGUUUCACCGUGUUGGCCAGGCUGGUCUUGAACUCCUGGCCUCAAAUGAUCCACCCACCUCAGCCUCCCAAAGUGCUGGGAUUACAAGCGUAAGCCACUGCACCCAACCCCAGGCUGAAUAUUAAUGGCACAUAACUUUCUGGUUCCCCCAUUCUAUGCUAUUUGGGUGGGGCUUAGCUCACCUCAGCCUCAAGACUGGCCAGUCAGACUAUUCCAUCUCCUUGGCCACAGUGAUUGGUUCAGGGGCAGGCACAUUACCCAAACUGGACCUUUCUGCAGGAGCUAUCAGGAAAGAUAGCUUUCUCUGAGGUGCAAGCUGUGUGGAUGAUGCAAGUGCUAGCAGCUUGAAGCCAUUGUGGAGAAACUGUCUGCAGAAGAGGCCAACUGCAGAAAGAAGCAGAGCUGAGAGAUGUCACUUCGGACCAUGUCAAUUCAAGAACAUUGAGCUCCUGGUUUGAGUUGUAGAAGCUGUAGGCUUCUCUUUAAUACUCCCUCCCUCCGCAGUAUGUUUUUUGUUUUGUUUUGUUUUGUUUUUGUUUUGAGACGGAGUUCUGGUCGUGUCACCCAGGCUGGAGUGCAGUGGCGUAAUCUUGCGCAGCCUCCACCUUCUGGGUUCAAGCGAUUCUCCUGCCUCAGCCUCCGAAGUAGCUGGGAUUACAGGCGCACGACACCACGCCUGACUAAUUUUUGUAAUUUUAGUAGAGAUGGGUUUUCACCAUUUUGGACAAGCUAGUCUCAAACUCCUGACCUCAGGUGAUCCGCCCGCCUCUGACUACCAAAGUGCUGGGACUACAGGCAUGAGCCACCAUGCCUGGCCUGCAGUAUGGUUUUGUUUUUCGUUUUGUGUUUUUUUUUUUUUUUUUUUUUGAGACAGAGUUCCGCUCUGUUGUCAGGCUGGAGUGCAGUGGCAUGAUCUCGGCUCACUGCAACCUCUGCUUCUCGGGUUCAAGUAGUUAUCCUGCCUCAGCCUCCCGAGUACCUGGGAUUACAGGCAUGUGCCACCACAUCCAGCUAAUUUUUGUAUUUUUUAAUAGAGACAAGGUUUCACCAUGUUAGCCGGACUGGUCUUGAACUCCUGACCUCAGGUAAUCCACCUGCCUCAGCCUCCCAAAGUGCUAGGAUUACAGGUGUGAGCCACUGCACCUGGCCCAGAGCUGUUUUAUUUUUAUUAAAUGCUGCAUAGAAUCAAUUGUCGAAAUAUGUUUGGGGCCAAGUGCGGUGGCUCAUAUUUGUAAUCCCAGCACUUUGGGAGGCCAAGGUGGGCAGAUCACUUGAGUGUCAGGAGUUUGAGACCAGCCUGGCCAACGUGCAAAACCCCAUGUCUACUAAAAAUACAAAAAUUAGCUGGGCGUGGUGGCACUCGCCUGUAGUCCCAGCUACUCAGGAGGCUGAGGCACCAGAAUCACUUGGACCCGAGAGGCAGAGGUUGCAGUUAGCAGAGACCGAGCCACUGCACUCCAGCCUGGGCAGCAGAGUGAGACUGUGCCUCA